UCAAGCGAACAAGUGCAUGUGGUGGAUGCCUUGGCGAUCACAGGCGAUGAAGGACGCGGUAGCCUGCGAAAAGCUUCGGGGAGCUGGCAAACAAGCUUUGAUCCGGAGAUGUCCGAAUGGGGAAACCCGGCCCGUAUGGGUCAUCCCUGACUGAAUCCAUAGGUCAGGGAAGCGAACGCGGCGAACUGAAACAUCUAAGUAGCUGCAGGAACAGAAAUCAACCGAGAUUCCCAAAGUAGUGGCGAACGAAAUGGGAAGAGCCUUGUACUCUUUAGCAGUGGUGUUAGCAGAACGGGAUGGAAAGCCCGGCCAUAGCAGGUGAUAGCCCUGUAUGCGAAAACACGAUUGUGGAACUAGGUGUACGACAAGUAGGGCGGGACACGUGAAAUCCUGUCUGAAGAUGGGGGGACCAUCCUCCAAGGCUAAAUACUCGUGAUCGACCGAUAGUGAACCAGUACCGUGAGGGAAAGGCGAAAAGAACCCCGGGAGGGGAGUGAAAUAGAUCCUGAAACCGCAUGCAUACAAACAGUCGGAGCCUCUUCGGGGGUGACGGCGUACCUUUUGUAUAAUGGGUCAGCGACUUACAUUCAGUGGCAAGCUUAACCGAUUAGGGAAGGCGUAGCGAAAGCGAGUCCGAACAGGGCGUUGAGUCGCUGGGUGUAGACCCGAAACCAGAUGAUCUAUCCAUGGCCAGGUUGAAGGUGCGGUAACACGUACUGGAGGACCGAACCCACUAACGUUGAAAAGUUAGGGGAUGAGCUGUGGAUAGGGGUGAAAGGCUAAACAAAUCUGGAAAUAGCUGGUUCUCUCCGAAAACUAUUUAGGUAGUGCCUCGUGUCUCACCUUCGGGGGUAGAGCACUGUCAUGGUUGGGGGGUCUAUUGCUGAUUACCCCGCCAUAGCAAACUCCGAAUACCGAAGAGUGCAAUCACGGGAGACAGACAUCGGGUGCUAACGUCCGGUGUCAAGAGGGAAACAACCCAGACCGCCAGCUAAGGUCCCCAAAUAUAGCUAAGUGGGAAACGAAGUGGGAAGGCUAAAACAGUCAGGAGGUUGGCUUAGAAGCAGCCACCCUUUAAAGAAAGCGUAAUAGCUCACUGAUCGAGUCGUCCUGCGCGGAAGAUGUAACGGGGCUAAGCUAUAUACCGAAGCUGCGGACGCACGCAAGUGCGUGGUAGGAGAGCGUUCUGUAAGCCUGUGAAGGUGUCUUGUAAAGGAUGCUGGAGGUAUCAGAAGUGCGAAUGCUGACAUGAGUAGCGAUAAAGGGGGUGAAAGGCCCCCUCGCCGUAAGCCCAAGGUUUCCUACGCAACGUUCAUCGGCGUAGGGUGAGUCGGCCCCUAAGGCGAGGCAGAGAUGCGUAGCUGAUGGGAAGCAGGUUAAUAUUCCUGCACCGUCGUAUGAUGCGAUGGGGGGACGGAUCGCGGAAGGUUGUCCGGGUGUUGGAAGUCCCGGUCCCUGUAGUGGAGAAGGCGCUUAGGCAAAUCCGGGCGCGUAAUUCAAGGCUAUGGGGCGAGCGGCCUAGUGCUGCGAAGCAAUUGGAAGUGGUUCCAAGAAAAGCCUCUAAGCUUCAGUCAUACGAGACCGUACCGCAAACCGACACAGGUGGGCGAGAUGAGUAUUCUAAGGCGCUUGAGAGAACUCGGGAGAAGGAACUCGGCAAAUUGGUACCGUAACUUCGGGAUAAGGUACGCCCUGGUAGCUUGACUGGCCUGCGCCAGAAGGGUGAAGGGGUUGCAAUAAAAUGGUGGCUGCGACUGUUUAAUAAAAACACAGCACUCUGCAAACACGAAAGUGGACGUAUAGGGUGUGACGCCUGCCCGGUGCCGGAAGAUUAAAUGAUGGGGUGCAAGCUCUUGAUUGAAGUCCCGGUAAACGGCGGCCGUAACUAUAACGGUCCUAAGGUAGCGAAAUUCCUUGUCGGGUAAGUUCCGACCUGCACGAAUGGCGUAACGAUGGCCACACUGUCUCCUCCCGAGACUCAGCGAAGUUGAAGUGUUUGUGAUGAUGCAAUCUCCCCGCGGCUAGACGGAAAGACCCCAUGAACCUUUACUGUAGCUUUGCAUUGGACUUUGAACCGAUCUGUGUAGGAUAGGUGGGAGGCUUUGAAGCGUGGACGCCAGUUCACGUGGAGCCGUCCUUGAAAUACCACCCUGGUUUGUUUGAGGUUCUAACCUUGGCCCGUGAAUCCGGGUCGGGGACAGUGCAUGGUAGGCAGUUUGACUGGGGCGGUCUCCUCCCAAAGUGUAACGGAGGAGUUCGAAGGUACGCUUGGUACGGUCGGACAUCGUACCUAAAGUGCAAUGGCAAAAGCGUGCUUAACUGCGAGACCGACAAGUCGAGCAGGUGCGAAAGCAGGACAUAGUGAUCCGGUGGUUCUGAAUGGAAGGGCCAUCGCUCAACGGAUAAAAGGUACUCUGGGGAUAACAGGCUGAUACCGCCCAAGAGUUCAUAUCGACGGCGGUGUUUGGCACCUCGAUGUCGGCUCAUCUCAUCCUGGGGCUGUAGCCGGUCCCAAGGGUAUGGCUGUUCGCCAUUUAAAGAGGUACGUGAGCUGGGUUUAAAACGUCGUGAGACAGUUUGGUCCCUAUCUGCCGUGGGCGUUGGAAUCUUGACGGGGGCUGCUCCUAGUACGAGAGGACCGGAGUGGACGUACCGCUGGUGUACCUGUUGUCUCGCCAGAGGCAUCGCAGGGUAGCUAUGUACGGAAGAGAUAACCGCUGAAAGCAUCUAAGCGGGAAACUCGCCUGAAGAUGAGGAUUCCCUGGAGGCUUGACCUCCUUGAAGGGUCGUUCGAGACCAGGACGUUGAUAGGCUGGGUGUGGAAGCGCAGUAAUGCGUUAAGCUAACCAGUACUAAUUGCCCGUAAGGCUUGAUCCU
rnacentral:rRNA from 1 species